rnacentral:rRNA from 1 species
GAUGAACGCUGGCGGCGUGCCUAAUACAUGCAAGUCGAGCGAACGGACGAGAAGCUUGCUUCUCUGAUGUUAGCGGCGGACGGGUGAGUAACACGUGGAUAACCUACCUAUAAGACUGGGAUAACUUCGGGAAACCGGAGCUAAUACCGGAUGAUAUUUUGAACCGCAUGGUUCAAAAGUGAAAGACGGUCUUGCUGUCACUUAUAGAUGGAUCCGCGCUGCAUUAGCUAGUUGGUAAGGUAACGGCUUACCAAGGCAACGAUGCAUAGCCGACCUGAGAGGGUGAUCGGCCACACUGGAACUGGGACACGGUCCAGACUCCUACGGGAGGCAGCAGUAGGGAAUCUUCCGAAAUGGGCGAAAGCCUGACGGAGCAACGCCGCGUGAGGGAUGAAGGUCUUCGGAUCGUAAAACUCUGUUAUUAGGGAAGAACAUAUGUGUAAGUAACUGUGCACAUCUUGACGGUACCUAAUCAGAAAGCCACGGCUAACUACGUG